rnacentral:rRNA from 1 species
GACGAACGCUGGCGGCGUGCUUAACACAUGCAAGUCGAACGGAAAGGCCUCUUUCGGGGGGUACUCGAGUGGCGAACGGGUGAGUAACACGUGAGUAACCUGCCCUUGACUUUGGGAUAACUUCAGGAAACUGGGGCUAAUACCGGAUAGGAGCUCCUGCUGCAUGGUGGGGGUUGGAAAGUUUCGGCGGUUGGGGAUGGACUGGCGGCGUAUCCGCUUGUUGGUGGGGUGGUGGGUUACCAAGGCCUUGACGGGUAGCCGGCCUGAGAGGGUGACAGGCCACAUUGAGACUGAGGUGCGGCCCAGGUUGCUACGCGACGGAACAGUGGGAAAUAUUGCAGAAUGAGUGGAAGCCUGAUGCAGCAGCGCCUUGUGCGGGAUGACGGCCUUCUGAUUGAAAACCGCUUUCGUACAUGACGAAGCUCUGUGUGACGGUAGUGGGUAAAGAAGCACCGGCUAACUACGUG